rnacentral:rRNA from 1 species
UACGGAGGAUGCAAGCGUUAUCCGGAAUUAUUGGGCGUAAAGCGUCCGCAGGUGGCAAUUCAAGUCUGCUGUCAAAGGUUCUGGCUCAACCAGAGACAGGCAGUGGAAACUGAAUAGCUAGAGUGCGGUAGGGGCAGAGGGAAUUCCCAGUGUAGCGGUGAAAUGCGUAGAGAUUGGGAAGAACACCGGUGGCGAAAGCGCUCUGCUAGGCCAAAACUGACACUAAGGGACGAAAGCUAGGGGAGCAAACAGG